rnacentral:misc_RNA from 1 species
GAUGAAGAACGCAGCGAAAUGCGAUAUGUAGUGUGAAUUGCAGAAUUCAGUGAAUCAUCGAAUCUUUGAACGCACAUUGCGCUCUCUGGUAUUCCGGGGAGCAUGCUCGUUUCAGAAUCAUCAACAUUCUUCAAAUUGAGAUGUGUUGUAUGACCCUUGUGGAAGUACACGCGUCUCGCUUUUGAAUGUGGACCGCUUUUGCCUAGGCAAAUGGUCUGGAAAUGAUUUUGUUUGCGCUCACCUUUUCCGGUAGCCCUUCUCAAAGGCAACAGAUGCAUAAUCUCAAACCCUUGAGGGGAGGCGUUCCACCGAUUAGGGGAAACAGCCAAGCAACCACACCAACUCUACCUUUCAGUGUACUCUUGGGUCACUGAUCGAGAACUUGGUCUGAAAUCGAGCAAGAAAACCCGCUGAACUUAAGCAUAUCAAUAAGCGGAGGA